GACGAACGCUGGCGGCGUGCUUAACACAUGCAAGUCGAACGGUGAACCGGGCUUCGGCCCGGGGAUCAGUGGCGAACGGGUGCGUAACACGUGGGCAACCUGCCCCAGACACUGGGAUAACCACGGGAAACCGGGGCUAAUACCGGAUACUCCGGCCGGACCGCAUGAUCUGGCCGGGAAAGCUCCGACGGGCUGGGAUGGGCCCGCGGCCUAUCAGCUUGUUGGGGGGGUCACGGCCCACCAAGGCGACGACGGGUAGCUGGUCUGAGGGGACGGCCAGCCCCACUGGAACUGCGAUACGGUCCAGACUCCUACGGGAGGCAGCAGUGGGGAAUCUUGCACAAUGGGCGCAAGCCUGACGCAGCGACGCCGCGCGGGGGACGACGGCCCUCGGGUUGUAAACCCCUUUCGGCAGGGAAGAAGCGCAAGUGACGGUACCUGCAGAAGAAGUCCCGGCUAACUACGUGCCAGCAGCCGCCGUAACAC
rnacentral:rRNA from 1 species